rnacentral:misc_RNA from 1 species
GAUGAAGAACGUAGCGAAAUGCGAUAAGUAAUGUGAAUUACAGAAUUCAGUGAAUCAUCGAAUCUUUGAACGCACAUUGCGCCCGCUAGUAUUCUGGCGGGCAUGCCUGUCCGAGCGUCAUUUCAACCCUCAAGCCCCCGGGCUUGGUGUUGGGGAUCGGCGAGCCUCCGCGCCCGCCGUCCCCUAAAUCUAGUGGCGGUCUCGCUGUAGCUUCCUCUGCGUAGUAGCACACCUCGCACUGGGAAACAGCGCGGCCACGCCGUUAAACCCCCAACUUCUGAACGUUUGACCUCGGAUCAGGUAGGAAUACCCGCUGAACUUAAGCAUAUCAAUAAGCGGAGGA